CGAUACGGGACUCUAUUGAGGCCCCGUAAUCGGAAUGAGUACACUUUAAAUCCUUUAACAAGGAUCCAUUGGAGGGCAAGUCUGGUGCCAGCAGCCGCGGUAAUUCCAGCUCCAAUAGCGUAUAUUAAAGUUGUUGCGGUUAAAAAGCUCGUAGUUGGUUCUGCGUGCCACGCUGUCGGUUUGCCGCCUGUCGGUGUAACUGGCAUGUCGUGGCAUGUCCUGUCGGUGGUGAACGGAAUCCCCGGCACGAUGUAGGCUUUAUUGCCGAAGUCUGUGCCGUGUGCGAUUCCGUUUGCCGAUCUCUCCUACUCCGGUGCUCUUAAACGAGUGUCGAGGUAGGCCGACACGUUCACUUUGAACAAAUUAGAGUGCUUAAAGCAGGCUGAAAUAUCUGCCUGAAUAGUGGUGCAUGGAAUGAUAAAACAGGACCUCAGUUCUAUUUUGUUGGUUUUAGGAAUAUGAGGUAAUGAUCAAUGUGGACUGGCGGGGGCAUUCGUAUUGCGACGUUAGAGGUGAAAUUCUUGGAUCGUCGCAAGACGCACUAGAGCGAAAGCAUUUGCCAAGUAUGUCUUAAUUGAUCAAGAACGAAAGUUAGAGGUUCGAAGGCGAUCAGAUACCGCCCUAGUUCUAACCAUAAACGAUGCCAGCCAGCGAUCCGCCGAUGUUCCUUUAAUGACUCGGCGGGGAGCUUCUACCCGGGAAACCAAAGCUUUUGGGUUCCGGGGGAAGUAUGGUUGCAAAGCUGAAACUUAAAGGAAU
rnacentral:rRNA from 1 species